CAGUCGCCGCGGUAAUACGUAGGUGGCAAGCGUUGUCCGGAAUUAUUGGGCGUAAAGGGCCCGCAGGCGGUUUCUUAAGUCUGAUGUGAAAGCCCACGGCUCAACCGGGGAGGGUCAUUGGAAACUGGGAAACUUGAGUGCAGAAGAGGAGAGUGGAAUUCCACGUGUAGCGGUGAAAUGCGUAGAGAUGUGGAGGAACACCAGUGGCGAAGGCGACUCCCUGGUCUGUAACUGGCGCUGAGGAGCGAAAGCGUGGGGAGCGAACAGGAUUAGAUACCCGCGUAGUCCCUGUCUCUUAUAC
rnacentral:rRNA from 1 species